rnacentral:rRNA from 1 species
CAGUAGCCGCGGGAAAACGUAGGGUGCGAGCGUUAAUCGGAAUUACUGGGCGUAAAGCGCGCGUAGGUGGUUUGUUAAGUUGGAUGUGAAAUCCCCGGGCUCAACCUGGGAACUGCAUCCAAAACUGGCAGGCUAGAGUAGGGCAGAUGGUGGUGGAAUUUCCUGUGUAGCGGUGAAAUGCGUAGAUAUAGGAAGGAACACCAGUGGCGAAGGCGACCACCUGGGCUCAUACUGACACUGAGGUGCGAAAGCGUGGGGAGCAAACAGGAUUAGAGACCCCAGUAGUCCCUGUCUCUUAUAC